rnacentral:tRNA from 1 species
AUUUUAAUAGCUUAUAUAUUUAAAGUUUUAUAUUGAAGAUAUAAAGAAAAUUAGUUAAUUUUAAAAUA